rnacentral:rRNA from 1 species
GACGUAGGGCGCGAGCGUUGUCCGGAUUUAUUGGGCGUAAAGAGCUCGUAGGCGGUCUGUCGCGUCUGCUGUGAAAACUCGGGGCUUAACCCCGGGCCUGCAGUGGGUACGGGCAGACUAGAGUGAUGUAGGGGAGACUGGAAUUCCUGGUGUAGCGGUGAAAUGCGCAGAUAUCAGGAGGAACACCGAUGGCGAAGGCAGGUCUCUGGGCAUUAACUGACGCUGAGGAGCGAAGGCAUGGGGAGCGAACAGG